GGCGGAGCGAGGGGGACAGCGAGCAGGCGCGGGGCAGGGGCGCCUCGCUCCCCGCCCGUGAAGGAGGGCCCCUCUGUGCCCGCCCGCCGCCGUCCCUUCGUCCACCCGUGGCCCCUCCUCAAAGCGACUGCCAGGGAACCUCACCUCCCCUGUAGCGUUUACCGCUUCCAUCCGCACCCCUGCGGCACCAGGUGCAACUCCUAGAUGCAGAUGUUAUACAACAUACCUUCUACUCACCCUUGAACUACAGUCAAAGAUAAAGAUUCACGGAGUUUGUCAUAGGCUUCCAAAGGACAAAGUCGAAAGCUUUAUAGCAGGUAAAAUAAGACUUCAGUUAGUUUCUGUUCUGUAGAACUGAAGCAACAAAUGAAAAAUAUUUUCAAGUUUCCUUUGAAUAGAGACAAUGAAGGUGUUCCAAGCACAAAGACGUUGCCUUAAGGAAUUUGAAGAGGUGUACCUUUCAAGCAAAGUCAUGUUUCAGCUUAUAAUUGAAUAAACAAUCUGUGUAAAAUCUACUCUGAGGAGGACUCUGAGUGAAGCAGCACAGGAAAACAAACAUUCUCAGAGCUUUUCAAUUUAUUUGUGUACGGGGACUGAAGAAAAAGACAAGGAAAUGGUAUAGAGUCAGUGCAAUGUAUGAAAGCUCUAAAAAACCCCAACCCAGCCACCUUCUAAGGUUAUACUUACAGUUAGCAGAGACCAUCUGAUGGAAGCACUCCACAAGACAGGUAUAGAGCAUACAAGGCAUGUUGCCCACUCAAAUAAAGCACCUCAACUUCAUUCUUAAUUUUCUUCUCCCUUUUUCAUAGUUCCUUUUUCUACAUUACUUGAGUGAAAAAAGAACAAGUUAUUUUUCCUUUGAUCUCGAGUUACUCAACAGCACGGGGAAGGGAAAUAAUAAGAAAGUGUUUUAAUCAUUCCCUACACCUAUGCUAUCUGUGCUUAAUUCCCAGAAACCCCAAGCUAUUGCAUCAAAUUCAGUCUUGAAAUCGUCAGCUAUUUGAAACAGUAGACUGGCCACAGAGGAAGGAAAUGGCAUUCGUGGUCUCAGCCCUAUCCACAGCUCUGAAAUUGUUUCAGGCUUAGAGGAUGGGACCUGGAGGGCAAAUGUAACAAUUACUAAAAAUACUGUUUCUUUAUAAAGACACAAAUCUUUAUGUAUUAUAAAAUACAAUGAAACUGUGCUAAUAAUAUACUCUCUCAUACUAUUUCUGUAGUGGAAUAUUGGUUGAAAUAUGUAAGUUUUAGAAAAUUUAGUUCUUACAAAGUUAUUGCACACUGAUGAUUAUGCUCAGAUUUAGCAAGGCUAUUAAUUAACAGCACAUUUUAACCAUGGCAGUAAGUUUCUUCUAACAAACAUUCAACUACCAAAUACAUCACCAGCUUUAUUUAUACUCAGCAACACAACUCCUGCAUUGUCACCUUGUCAAAGAGACACUGCUGCCUGAAAUGUAACCUGAAACAAUGCCAUCAAUCCAAUCCCUGGUUCAGAUUCAAAGGCAAUUUGAAACAUGAAGUUAGUUGAAAUGUGCAAAUCAGUAAAAAUUUACUCAGCUACUCAGAGUAAAUUUGUUCCUUGUGGUAAAGUGCUGUGUUUAAUAUUUUCAAUAAGGUAUUGGAACUUUUGCUUGUCCUUCAAAAAAAAGGACACAUUAAACCACCACAUUCCUUUAAAAGGAAGGAAAUAUAGUUGGAAAUUACUAAAAAAACCUAAAAACUGUCAGUUAUAGAGAAGCUGAAUCAGAGAGAGGUUAUUAAGGUAGUAAAUGGACUGAAGAAUCAGAAUGAAGUAUUUAACUUGUCAAGAAGGGGGAAGCCUGAAGAGCCUUCCCACUGUGUCUCUUUGUGCUGGAAGAACACUCCACUUCAUCCCUUGCUAGAUGCAUUCCUUUAAACCACAAAGUUCAGCACUUCAGAACACAGAAGUCUGUCACUACUCUGCAUUCAGAUGAAGAAUUCAAAACCUGACACCCUCCCAAACCAGAACUUUGUAAGUCUGUUGUGUUUCAGAAAAAUGGGGUAUAUAUGGCAUUUCAUAUACUAAAAGAAGCUCACGUGUGAUUUCCAUUCUGAAAUCUUUAUAGGACUUCCUGUUCUGUGAUUUGGCAUAUGAGAUCUGAGAAUUCGCUUCCUGCCGAGACAACACAGAUUAGAGCAGUGUUUCAUAUUCAUCUAACAGGUGUUAAAUAAAGCAUACAAGA